UACGGAGGGUGCGAGCGUUAUUCGGAAUUACUGGGCGUAAAGGGCGCGUAGGUGGCCUUGUAAGUCAAAGGUGGAAUUCCACAGCUCAACUGUGGAACUGCCUUUGAUACUGCAAGGCUUGAGUCAGGUAGAGGGAGGCGGAAUUCCCGGUGUAGCGGUGAAAUGCGUAGAUAUCGGGAGGAAGGCCGGUGGCGAAGGCGGCCUCCUGGGCCUGCACUGACGCUGAGGCGCGAAAGCGUGGGGAGCAAACAGG
rnacentral:rRNA from 1 species